rnacentral:rRNA from 1 species
ACUUGCUUUCUUUGCUGGCGACCGGCGCACGGGUGAGUAACACGUAUCCAACCUACCCUUUACUCGGGGAUAGCCUUUCGAAAGAAAGAUUAAUACCCGAUAGCAUAAUGAUUCCGCAUGGUUUCAUUAUUAAAGGAUUCCGGUAAAGGAUGGGGAUGCGUUCCAUUAGGUUGUUGGUGGGGUAACGGCCCACCAAGCCUUCGAUGGAUAGGGGUUCUGAGAGGAAGGUCCCCCACAUUGGAACUGAGACAUGGUCCAAACUCCUACGGGAGGCAGCAUG